rnacentral:rRNA from 1 species
UACGUAGGGGGCGAGCGUUGUCCGGAUUUAUUGGGCGUAAAGAGCGUGUAGGCGGCCAGGUAGGUCUGCUGUGAAAACUCGAGGCUCAACCUCGAGACGUCGGCGGAAACCAUCUGGCUAGAGUCCGGAAGAGGAGAGUGGAAUUCCUGGUGUAGCGGUGAAAUGCGCAGAUAUCAGGAAGAACACCGAUGGCGAAGGCAGGUCUCUGGGCCGAUACUGACGCUGAGGAGCGAAAGCGUGGGGAGCGAACAGG